rnacentral:rRNA from 1 species
GACGAACGCUGGCGGCGUGCCUAAUACAUGGAAGUCGAGCGCAGGAAACUGACGGAACUCUUCGGAGGGAAGGCAGUGGAAUGAGCGGCGGACGGGUGAGUAACACGUAAGGAACCUGCCUCAAGGAUUGGGAUAACUCCGAGAAAUCGGAGCUAAUACCGGAUAGUUCAUCGGACCGCAUGGUCCGUUGAUGAAAGGCGCUUCGGCGUCACCUUGAGAUGGCCUUGCGGUGCCCUAGCUAGUUGGUGGGGUAACGGCCUACCAAGGCGACGAUGCAUAGCCGACCUGAGAGGGUGAUCGGCCACACUGGGACUGAGACACGGCCCAGACUCCUACGGGAGGCAGCAGUAGGGAAUCUUCCACAAUGGACGAAAGUCUGAUGGAGCAACGCCGCGUGAGUGAUGAAGGUUUUCGGAUCGUAAAACUCUGUUGUAAGGGAAGAACACGUACGAGAGGGAAUGCUCGUACCUUGACGGUACCUUACGAGAAAGCCACGGCUAACUACGUGCCAGCAGCCGCAGUAA